rnacentral:rRNA from 1 species
UACGGGGGGGGCAAGCGUUGUUCGGAAUUACUGGGCGUAAAGGGUCUGUAGGUGGCUUGCUAAGUCAGACGUGAAAUCCCUCAGCUUAACUGGGGAACUGCGUCUGAGACUGGCGAGCUUGAGGGCAGGAGAGGAACGCGGAAUUCCAGGUGUAGCGGUGAAAUGCGUAGAUAUCUGGAGGAACACCGGUGGCGAAGGCAGCUCGCUGGAACGGUACUGACGCUGAGGCGCGAAAGCUAGGGGAGCGAACUGG